AGUAGACUGGAGCUAGCCAGACUGCAGCUAGCUUGACUGGAACUAGUAGACUGGAGCUAGUAGAAUGGAGCUAACUAGACUGGAGCUAGUAGACUGGAGCUAACUAGACUGGAGCUAACUAGACUGGAGCUAGCUAGACUGGAGCUAAUAGACUGGAGGUAACCAGACUGGAGCUAGUAGACUGGAGCUAGCUAGACUGGAGCUAGUAGACUGGAGGUAACCAGACUGGAGCUAGUAGACUGGGGGUAACUAGACUGGAG
ensembl:lncRNA